rnacentral:ncRNA from 1 species
AUCAGUGGACGACCACUGAUGACGCUUUUUUAACCGGGACGACCCGG